AACCUAAUGGCUUUUAAUUCCCAAAUGAAGGACAGAUAAGUUGACAAUUGACAAGGGGCAGAUCUUCCUGGGGCUUUGUUUGUAGCUAGCAGUGACCUGAGAUACUGGCAGGCAGUUUGUACUGGGGGUUCCACACUCCUGGAACCGUGAAACUGCGGAACGGCACAGAUGUCUGGCUGUUCUUCCUAGCAGUAAGAAGCCACUGCACCAGAAAGGCUACCUACGUGUUGGAGUAUGGGCUUUAAAUCCUGCAGAGAAAAAAAUAUAGAUGUGAACACAGAAGAAAAAGAAAUCACUGGUUUGAACUCAAGACUGUAACCAAAGAAACUCAAGCAGUGAGAAUUAUUUCAUUUGGGCUGAGGUGUGUGUGCAUCUGUGAUGAGAGAGAUGGAUGAAAGGAGAUGAAAGUGGAGAGAGAAGAUCUACA
rnacentral:lncRNA from 1 species